ensembl:snoRNA LOC120097622 small nucleolar RNA SNORA17
GCUGCUGAGUCACACAUGCUUCGGAAAUUGGCAGAGAUGAGACAGGCUAUGUCUAUGCUCAGUGUUCUACCCUAUAAACAUCAGAAAGGUUAGAAGCCUAACGUU